CCCGCUCAGAAACUCAAAGGAAUUGACGGGGGCCCGCACAAGCGGAGGAGCAUGUGGUUUAAUUCGAUGAUACGCGAGGAACCUUACCUGGGCUCGAACGUAAGAUGACUGUAGGUGAAAGCCUACAUCUCUUCGGAGCAUUUUACGAGGUGCUGCAUGGUUGUCGUCAGCUCGUGCCGUGAGGUGUCGGGUUAAGUCCCAUAACGAGCGCAACCCCUACCUUUAGUUGCCAUCAGGUAAUGCUGGGGACUCUAAAGGAACUGCCUACGCAAGUAGUGAGGAAGGCGGGGAUGACGUCAAAUCAGCACGGCCCUUACGUCCAGGGCUACACACGUGCUACAAUGGCCGAUACAGAGGGCAGCUACCUGGUGACAGGAUGCAAAUCUCCAAAGUCGGUCUCAGUUCGGAUCGGAGUCUGCAACCCGACUCCGUGAAGUUGGAUUCGCUAGUAAUCGCGCAUCAGCCAUGGCGCGGUGAAUACGUUCCCGGGCCUU
rnacentral:rRNA from 1 species